rnacentral:lncRNA from 10 species
AUGGCUCCCCAGAGGAAAGGGCCAGAAGGUUUUCACCAGCGCGGUGAGUGGCGAGGAUUUCAGGAAGAUUGGAAUUGAGGAGGAAGCCAUUUGCCUGCCUACAACCUCCUGUAUCCCCUUGUUGGUGACAGAACAAAAGAUAAAGCAGUCAGCAUUACCUGAAGUGACUUGGAGGUGAUUAAUACUCAGAGCUCCUGGAGCAGAAAGGUGCUCUGUAAUCACACAGUCGUGUGCAUCCAUCCCCAGCUGUCAACAGGAUCUUCUGAGUAAAACACAGCUAAAUAAAUCUCUGCAAUGAGGAAGGACCGCAAUCAAAGGUACCUUCCAUUAGAGCUACCUGCCAAAUUUUGGAUGGCAGCACCCCAAGAUGAAAGGAGCUUGGAUCCCCAAGUCAUUAUUUGGAGGAGAGCCUCUGCAAAGAACUGCCUGCUGUGCACUGGACUGUGAGGCUCUGAGCCUCCUUGACGGGAAAGAUUUUCCUUCUGGACCUCCAUCUCCCUGGUGAAAGAAAGGUGGCACAUGGCAAAUCUUCAACAAACGUUGGCUGUUUGAAUGGAUUGGUGAAGGAUGAAUGGAUAAAUGAAGUGCAGAUCCCUUGCAAUUGGAGUCUGUGUUAGGGUCUGUGUUAUACCUCCUGUAUCCUUGGUACCUGGCACUGUUCCUUGAACAGAGUUUUUAAACCCGUGGAUGCUCUUUCAGCAUGGAAGUCACUGGAAUCAGUAUUUAGGGGAAGAGUUAUGAGUUGUUCUUUAUUUCUCUAUUAGUUAUAACCAGCUUACUUCCACAAAGAGCUUAAAGAAAAAGAACAUUAAGACUAGGACUUUUUCUCAAACAUCUUACAGAUUACAGGAUUGUUCUUUUGAACUCUGAAAAAUAAGCUGGUUUUGCUGUCAACUUUAUGAUUGGGUCAGAAGUCAUCAGUGCUUUAACAACAGAAUCUUGGGUGUGGUGUUUCCAUGAUUUCACCCAGGCAUGUUCCCAGCAUGAACAUAAGGGAGGGAACACAUGAUUAAAUAACGGUUUUUAACAUCUUGUCACAACUACAUGUUUAGCCGGACU